rnacentral:lncRNA from 1 species
GCGUGACACAAAUUUGGCCCCGAGGGAGCUCCAUGUGCCUGAGUCCCAGGAGCCCUAGAUGCCAGCGACAGCUUGUCACCAGGCCUGCGACGCCAAUGGGCGGGAGUCGGCGGAGCUCAGGACACUGACGACGGGCCUGGGGGAAAGCGGUCCCCACACAGCCCGGGGCCAGAGGAGCGGGCUGCCAGGGUCAGACGGAGGAAGACCGCGGGAAACAGACUGGACGUGCAGGGAAAGGUCCAGUCCCACCCGCGGGUGCAGGGAACAGCCUGUGGGGAGGGGACCCAGGGCCGCGUGGGAAGAGUCAGGGAGCUUAGGUGGACCGCCCGGCAGGAAGAGAGGGGAAGGCUGAGCAGUGAAGGGGUCCCCAAGUCAGCCAAGGCAGAGUUCCCAGGUGUCAUGAGGACUGGACAUGGGUCUAUCAGGACCAUCGGCAUGAUGUCAGCCAAGGAUCUCGUGGCCUGCCUCUGCCAAGGGGGGACCAGCACCUUGUCCUGAGCACUUCCAGCCUCCCAUUGCCUUCAACCUGGCUGCAUUCAGCUGCCAUGCCCCUACCUCCUGAUGUGGCCAGCACCCUCCAGGACUUCAUCUAGGUGCACCCAAAGGCCGAGGACGUUGCUGGCCAGCAGGAAAUUCCUGGUGCAUCCAGGAAGACUUCCAAGAGGUGGUGGAACAGGGGGCGCCACACCCAGACAGCUGUGUGUAACUGUGCAGCUUCGGGCUGCUGCAGGUGCUGGCCGGACUGUGUUCUGGGCACACUGGACUGUGUCACUGCAUGGAGGCUGUUGCCGGAGGAGGAAGUGCAGGCCCCAAGGCCUAUGUGCCUGGAAACCAGCUGGGGCUGCUGCAGGAGGAGGGCUGCAGGAUGCUCCAGCUCAGACCUGACUCAGGGUUUUAGAGGGCACAGGGCAUAAAGCUGUGGACAUAGACAGCCCUACUGCGCAGGAAGAGCAUAAACCAGCCAGAGGGCAUGCAUGGGGGCUGCUGUUGCAUUCUGGUCUCCUUUGAGGUAGGGAAAGAUGUGUUUCUUUCUAUUUUAUGGGUGAGCAAACUGAGGCAGAGUGGUGGAGUGAUUUCCCCCAGCAUCGAUGGCAGAUUUAGCUCCAGGGCUUAGAUUUUAGGAUCCUCCCUCUCAAAUACCAUGAUGUAUCAUGGGCUUUUUCUCCACAGAAAAUUAGAAACUCAGAAAUGGAAAGGAACAAUGAAACUUACCCAUUCUCCCACUGCUCACAUUUCCUUCUGGUCUUUUUGUGUGUGCAUAUAAAAUAUAUCUCAGAAAAUUGA